rnacentral:rRNA from 1 species
GGGUUGUGAGGUUAAGCGACUAAGCGUACACGGUGGAUGCCCUGGCAGUCAGAGGCGAUGAAGGACGUGCUAAUCUGCGAUAAGCGUCGGUAAGGUGAUAUGAACCGUUAUAACCGACGAUUUCCGAAUGGGGAAACCCAGUGUGUUUCGACACACUAUCAUUAUGUGAAUACAUAGCGUAAUGAAGCGAACCGGGGGAACUGAAACAUCUAAGUACCCCGAGGAAAAGAAAUCAACCGAGAUUCCCCCAGUAGCGGCGAGCGAACGGGGAGCAGCCCAGAGCCUGAAUCAGCAUGUGUGAUAGUGGAACGGUAUGGAAAGGCCGGCGAUACAGGGUGAUAGCCCCGUACACAAAAUUGCAUGUGUUGUGAGCUCGAUGAGUAGGGCGGGACACGUGGUAUCCUGUCUGAAUAUGGGGGGACCAUCCUCCAAGGCUAAAUACUCCUGACUGACCGAUAGUGAACCAGUACCGUGAGGGAAAGGCGAAAAGAACCCCGGCGAGGGGAGUGAAAAAGAACCUGAAACCGUGUACGUACAAGCAGUGGGAGCAUCCUUCGGGGUGUGACUGCGUACCUUUUGUAUAAUGGGUCAGCGACUUAUAUUCUGUAGCAAGGUUAACCGAAUAGGGGAGCCGCAGGGAAACCGAGUCUUAACUGGGCGUUAAGUUGCAGGGUAUAGACCCGAAACCCGGUGAUCUAGCCAUGGGCAGGUUGAAGGUUGGGUAACACUAACUGGAGGACCGAACCGACUAAUGUUGAAAAAUUAGCGGAUGACUUGUGGCUGGGGGUGAAAGGCCAAUCAAACCGGGAGAUAGCUGGUUCUCCCCGAAAGCUAUUUAGGUAGCGCCUCGUGAA